AGAUAGUUUGGAGUGAUCACUCCGAUUCCUUUAGGACAUCGGAGAGGAAAGUCCGAGCACCAUGGCAAAUCACAGCCGAUAACAUCGUGCCACCGUAUAUUUAAAACAUACGGUAGGGACAGUGCCACAGAGACAAUACUAGUUCGUUUUUGGCCUUAAAAUCAAAGAUGAACGAAAGGUGAAAAGCCCUAUUCAGUAGGGACAUAUGGCGAAAGCCAUAAACGUUGGAAAACCCUGUGAGGUGCAAGGUGAGAUGGAAAGUUUUAUUCGCCGCCAAUCGCAAAUAACUCUUCUCACCGCUAUAGAUUCCACUUCGGUGGAACUAAGAUAGAUGAUCACAACCCAUCGACAAAAUCGAAGGAACACAGAACUCGGCUUACCCAAACUGUUUAAGA
rnacentral:RNase_P_RNA from 1 species